UUUUGCACAAAGCUCUGUCUCUGGAAUUAGCUGUCUACAGGCAGCUCUUUGUUUUCAACCGAAUUUAAGAUUAUGGCUGAGCCAUAAAAGGGAAGAAAGGUGACACUGGAGAGCUUCUGCAGCGGUAAAUCCUGAAAUAUUCGGGCCUGUGACAUUUUUGUAGCUGGCAAAUGCUGAGUGAGGCAUAUCUGGUCAACACAGAGGCCCAAACCUGGUUAAGUUUCACAGAAGAAACUGCUACAAGUCUCAGUGAGGGGAUGAAAAUGCUCCUGUUGUUAAACGUCUCAGACUGGAGAGCAGCCAAACAGUGGAGGAAA
rnacentral:lncRNA from 1 species